GGUUGAUCCUGCCAGUAGUCAUAUGCUUGUGUUAAAGAUUAAGCCAUGCAUGUCUUAGUUUAAGGUGAUUUUAUACCGAAACUGCGGAUGGCUCAAUAAAUCAGUCAUAAUUAAUUUGGUGAUAAAGAUUAAAUGGAUAACCCUGUUAAUUGUAGAGCUAAUACAUGAAUAAUAUAUCUGAUCGGAGAGCCUUUUUCGCCCCCUUGUUUAUUCGAGGGGGAGUAUUUUGAAAGAGGAGGGAUGAGAGGAUAGCAUUUGUCAGCUCGAAAAAGUUAACCAAGUCCCCAUCCACA
rnacentral:rRNA from 1 species